UACCAGCACCCCGAGUGGUCGGGACGAUUAUUGGGCCUAAAGCAUCCGUAGCCGGUUCUGCAAGUCCCCCGUUAAAUCCAGCUGCUCAACAGAUGGGCCGCGGAGGAUACUACAGAGCUAGGAGGCAGGAGAGGCAAGCGGUACUCAGUGGGUAGGGGUAAAAUCCGUUGAUCCAUUGAAGACCACCAGUGGCGAAGGCGGCUUGCCAGAACGCGCUCGACGGUGAGGGAUGAAAGCUGGGGG
rnacentral:rRNA from 1 species